rnacentral:rRNA from 1 species
GUGGGGAAUAUUGGACAAUGGGGGCAACCCUGAUCCAGCAAUGCCGCGUGUGUGAAGAAGGUCUUCGGAUCGUAAAGCACUUUCGACGGGGACGAUGAUGACGGUACCCGUAGAAGAAGCCCCGGCUAACUUCGUGCCAGCAGCCGCGGUAAUACGAAGGGGGCUAGCGUUGCUCGGAAUUACUGGGCGUAAAGGGCGCGUAGGCGGCUCUGUUAGUCAGGCGUGAAAUUCCUGGGCUUAACCGGGGGACUGCGCUUGAUACUGCGGAGCUUGAGGCCGAGGGAGGGGGGUGGAAUUCGCAGUGUAGAGGUGAAAUUCGUAGAUAUUGGGAAGAACGCCGGUGGCGAAGGCGACCACCUGGCUCGGUACUGACGCUGAGGCGCGACAGCGUGGGGAGCAAACAGGAUUAGAUACCCGGGUAGUCC